UGCAUCUGAAGCUCGUCUCUGAUUGGAUAAUGACGUGAGGGCGGGAGCACGCACCAUUUGCAGAGUGGAGAAGGAGAAGACAGAAAACGUCGAAGUCUUUAGGACAAAUUACAAACAUACGAUUUGAAUUUUCUUUUGAUGAUCUGUGUUUGUUCAUCAGAAAGUUUGCACGAGUAUUGCUGAGGAAAUGCAGAAUGUGCACGAAUUGGGUCAAGCCUACACAAUAAAUAAGGUACUGUGAAGUAACACGAAGUGAGUUUUAUGCUGAUCCGAAUGCCUGUGGUCCUCCACGCACUCCGGAGACAUAUGACGCAGCUGUUGCUGAUCUCC